AGACGAGGCGGCACGUGUUUGACCCUUGACGUCCCCGCACCGUCAGCGAGUUUCUCUCAAAACUCGAACAACUAAAGCCAACGUGAACUUUUGCGGACCCCGUGGUCCGCA
rnacentral:other from 2 species